AGCGAACGCUGGCGGCAGGCUUAACACAUGCAAGUCGAACGCUCGUCUUCGGACGGGAGUGGCAGACGGGUGAGUAACACGUGGGAACGUACCCUUUGGUUCGGAAUAACACAGGGAAACUCGUGCUAAUACCGGAUACGCCCUUUUGGGGAAAGGUUUACUGCCGAAGGAUCGGCCCGCGUCUGAUUAGCUAGUUGGUGGGGUAACGGCCUACCAAGGCGACGAUCAGUAGCUGGUCUGAGAGGAUGAUCAGCCACACUGGGACUGAGACACGGCCCAGACUCCUACGGGAGGCAGCAGUGGGGAAUACUGGACAAUGGGCGCAAGCCUGAUCCAGCCAUGCCGCGUGAGUGAUGAAGGCCUUAGGGUUGUAAAGCUCUUUUGUCCGGGACGAUAAUGACGGCACCGGAAGAAUAAGCCCCGGCUAACUUCGUGCCAGCCGCCGCCGUAA
rnacentral:rRNA from 1 species